UGGGGUGUAGUGAACUGUAGUGGUCUAAUGAUUUUGUGCUAGGGGUCGAGUGUUCGAAUCACUCCGUCCCGACCA
rnacentral:tRNA from 1 species